rnacentral:lncRNA from 1 species
GGACCUUUCAUCGAAGCAUAAUGUUCGUAUUUGGCCAACAUAAUUGUUCCAUGAUGUGCUAUUCAAGCUCCCUUGAUUGGGUUUAAAGGUGUGUGUUUUUCUAUGUUGUUGAUGUUAACAAGAAACAUCUUGAACUAGAAAUAUAAAGUGCUUGUGCAGAAAUGCUCCAAAAGUUGACAUGUCAAAAACAUAGACGAGAAGGAACAAGCAUGACAAUAAGCAGCAUCAGACCUUGUUGAGGUUGCCUUAGCGAUGAGGAAAUAAUCAGCUAGAGUGACACAAAUCGUUACAAGUCAUAUCACUCAAUUAACCAUGCCAGGUAAAGGUGAGUAUUCUAUUAUGAGGUAAAAGGGUGUGAAGCAUACUUUGACGGACGUUAAAAGCUUCGUAUAACUUGAAAAAUCAUUUGUUCAUUCAUCUGUACAAGGUUAGAGACCUUAGGUACUAACUUUCAUACUUAUAAUGAGCAAUCUUUGAUAGAUUAAAACUUGAUUAGCCGUUAUAUGGUAAACCAUAGUAUGGGAAGAGUUUCAUAGUAGAAUCAAAGGAAUAAUUGCAAUGCUGGUAUGGCACAAGAUGAUGCUCUACAGCUCUAAUAUGGUGUAGAGACCUAGCACAAAAUUAUUAUGCCUGCAUGAGGGUCACAAAAUAUGUUUAACCUAAGGAAGCAAAACAAGCACCGGGACUAAGUAGAGUUAAUCCUACAUGGAUCAACAAGCCAAUAUCAAAGAAGGAACAGCUUUAUCGUUUAUGAGGUGAGGAUUGCCCAAGCCAUAUAAGGAGACCAAUGACCUCAAAUCCCUCCGACGUGGGACAACUCAACA